GAUGAACGCUGACAGAAUGCUUAACACAUCAGCCAUUGAUUGGUGGCGGACGGGUGAGUAACGCGUAAAGAACUUGCCUCACAGGUAGGGUCAACAUUUGGAAACGAAUGCUAAUACCUCAUACUGUGAGAGAGCUUUGCGUCCCAUUAGCUAGUUGGAGAGGUAACGGCUCACCACGGCGAUGAUGGGUAGCCGGCCUGAGAGGGUGAUCGGCCACAAGGUGAUUCAGACACGGCCCUGACGCCUACUGGAGGCAGCAGUGGGGAAUAAUGGACAAGGGACCGAAGUCUGAGCCAGCAAGUAUGUGUGCACGAUGAAGUUUUCGGAAUGUAAAGGUCUUUCAGAUGGAAAGCGGUACCAACAGAAGAAGUGACGGCUAAAUACGUGCCAGCCGCCGCGGUAAUUC
rnacentral:rRNA from 1 species